GAUGAACGCUGGCGGCGUGCCUAAUACAUGCAAGUCGAGCGAACGGACGAGAAGCUUGCUUCUCUGAUGUUAGCGGCGGACGGGUGAGUAACACGUGGAUAACCUACCUAUAAGACUGGGAUAACUUCGGGAAACCGGAGCUAAUACCGGAUAAUAUUUUGAACCGCAUGGUUCAAAAGUGAAAGACGGUCUUGCUGUCACUUAUAGAUGGAUCAGCGCUGCAUUAGCUAGUUGGUAAGGUAACGGCUUACCAAGGCAACGAUGCAUAGCCGACCUGAGAGGGUGAUCGGCCACACUGGAUCUGAGACACGGUCCAGACUCCUACGGGAGGCAGCAGUAGGGAAUCUUCCGCAAUGGGCGAAAGCCUGACGGAGCAACGCCGCGUGAGUGAUGAAGGUCUUCGGAUCGUAAAACUCUGUUACUAGGGAAGAACAUAUGUGUAAGUAACUGUGCACAUCUUGACGGUACCUAAUCAGAAAGCCACGGCUAACUACGUG
rnacentral:rRNA from 1 species